GCGCGGGGGUGGUGGCUUGAGCAUGGCGGGCUGCAGGUCCCGAGCCCUGCCCCACAGGUAGGCGGCGGAGGCCCCGCGAGAAUUCCAGCGUAUUGUGGGCGGGCCCGCACUGCGGGAGAGACCCGGCGCACUCUCCGCAGCUGCUGGCCCGAGUGCUGAGCCCCUCACUGCUGGGGCCGGCGGCGCUGCCGGCCGCUCGGAGUGCGGGCCUGCUGAGCCCGCGCCCACCCAGAACUCGCUGGCCCGCGAGUGCAGCGCGCAGCCCCUGCUCCCGCCCGCGCGUCUCCCUCCACAUCUCCGGGCAAGCAAAGGGAGCCGGCUCCAGCCUCGGCCAGCCCAGAGAGUGCCUCCCACAGUGCAGAGGCGGGCUGAAGGGCUGGCUUCUCAAGCGUGGCCAGAGUGGACGCCGAGGCCGAGGAGGCACCCACAGUGAGCAAGGGCUGACAGCACGUUGUCACCUCAGUACCACAGAAAUUGAAAACAGACAGGAGACUACUGUAUAUCAGUUCAAGGCCGAGUGA
rnacentral:lncRNA from 1 species